rnacentral:rRNA from 1 species
AUUGAACGCUGGCGGCAUGCCUUACACAUGCAAGUCGGACGGCAGCGCGGGAGCAAUCCUGGCGGCGAGUGGCGAACGGGUGAGUAAUACAUCGGAACAUGUCCAGUAGUGGGGGAUAGCCCGGCGAAAGCCGGAUUAAUACCGCAUACGAUCUAUGGAUGAAAGCGGGGGAUCGCAAGACCUCGCGCUAUUGGGGUGGCCGAUGGCGGAUUAGCUAGUUGGUGGGGUAAAGGCCUACCAAGGCGACGAUCCGUAGCUGGUCUGAGAGGACGACCAGCCACACUGGGACUGAGACACGGCCCAGACUCCUACGGGAGGCAGCAGUGGGGAAUUUUGGACAAUGGGGGCAACCCUGAUCCAGCAAUGCCGCGUGUGUGAAGAAGGCCUUCGGGUUGUAAAGCACUUUUGUCCGGGAAGAAAUCCCCUGCCCUAAUACGGCGGGGGGAUGACGUACCGAAGAAUAAGCCC